AUUUCAGACAAACUGAUUAGUAGUCUGCUGCCUUUUAAGAGGCACUUGAAUAUCAAAAUUUCAAAUGCUAUUUUAGAUACUUCAUAGAAACAAGGAGCAUAACAGAACAGAGCUUACAGUGCUUUCCGCGGGUAAAAGACCUUGGAUAUUUUUUCCAAAUCAUCGAAGGUUUCCACAAAGUGGAUGGGUUGUGGCAUGUACGGACUCCUAACAGCGAUCAGAAACCACACCCUGCUUUCCCUGUAGAGCACAUCCUUUAUGAUCUCAACCAGAACCGUGGAGUGUUCGCUCUUAUAGAUGCAAAAGUUGAAGAACAACGCAUUCAGCCAGCUAAUGGACAUGGAUAAGCUAAAGAAUAUUUGUGAAAGAGAUGAUAUGUUUAACGUUUUAAGGCCUGCUAUCAGUACCAGUAUCUGGUGGACAACCAUUCCAACCAGCAAUCCGUGGGCAAAGCGGCGAUGGAGGGAUAGUUGCGGAACUCGGCAUAGGCCACCAAUGCGGAGGACUCAGUGCAAAGAGCCAAUAUCCUGUAGGUCUGAUAGGAAUGGAACAGGGAGUCCUUGCCACGAAAUUUCGGACGGAUAUUGCCGAACCACUUGACACCUGGCGAUCGAAUCAGCUUGUUGAGUCCAUCCUGGUCUCCCGCUUGAGCCAAGCGAAUCUGAAACUGAUUCAUCAGUGCGAAUAAUUUAUGUUUGGUGUGUGAUUAAAACAAAAAAACAUA
rnacentral:sRNA from 1 species